GUAGGUGGCAAGCGUUGUCCGGAAUUAUUGGGCGUAAAGCGCGCGCAGGCGGUCCUUUAAGUCUGAUGUGAAAUCCCACGGCUCAACCGUGGAAGGUCAUUGGAAACUGGGGGACUUGAGUACAGAAGAGGAAAGCGGAAUUCCAAGUGUAGCGGUGAAAUGCGUAGAGAUUUGGAGGAACACCAGUGGCGAAGGCGGCUUUCUGGUCUGUAACUGACGCUGAGGCGCGAAAGCGUGGGGAGCAAACAGGAUUAGAUACCCUGGUAGUCCACGCCGUAAACGAUGAGUGCUAAGUGUUAGGGGGUUUCCCGCCCCCUUAGUGCUGCAGCUAACGCAUUAAGCACUCCGCCUGGGGGAGUACGGUCGCAAGACUG
rnacentral:rRNA from 1 species